rnacentral:rRNA from 1 species
AUUGAACGCUGGCGGCAGGCCUAACACAUGCAAGUCGAGCGGAUGAGGGGAGCUUGCUCCUGGAUUCAGCGGCGGACGGGUGAGUAAUGCCUAGGAAUCUGCCUGGUAGUGGGGGAUAACGUCCGGAAACGGGCGCUAAUACCGCAUACGUCCUGAGGGAGAAAGUGGGGGAUCUUCGGACCUCACGCUAUCAGAUGAGCCUAGGUCGGAUUAGCUAGUUGGUGGGGUAAAGGCCUACCAAGGCGACGAUCCGUAACUGGUCUGAGAGGAUGAUCAGUCACACUAGAACUGAAACACGGUCCAGACUACUACGGGAGGCAGCAGUGGGGAAUAUUGGACAAUGGGCGAAAGCCUGAUCCAGCCAUGCCGCGUGUGUGAAGAAGGUCUUCGGAUUGUAAAGCACUUUAAGUUGGGAGGAAGGGCAGUAAGUUAAUACCUUGCUGUUUUGACGUUACCAACAGAAUAAGCACCGGCUAACUUCGUG